UCAGGUGCAUCCUGUUUCCACCGAUCAUCCGUGAGAUCUUUCUACAGCUUCAUCGGAGUCUACUUGCAGUAAAUUAAGUUGAUUGGACAUGAUUUGGAAAGGCACACACCUGUCCACAUA